UGCCCCGUGGCUUAGUUGGUUACGGCGUCCGACUGUUAGGCAUGUAAAUGUUCCAAGGCAUCGGAAGAUCGAGAGUUCGAGUCUCUCCGGGGCAG
rnacentral:tRNA from 1 species